AAGAUACAAUUUAUAAGUUGAUACACCCGAAGGUGAGUCCUAAUUUUGUCCAAUCUGUCAGAACACCGUCGAAUUCCUCGUAGUCACCACUUCUUUGUGAAACCUGAACCUGGAGGGGCGCAAAACCAAAAUUGAGUGGGUCAGUAAAACAAUUCUUUUCCAAAUCCAAACAUUUCUCAAAACGUUGUAACCCCUCUCCGUAAAACCUGUAUACUUUCCCAGAAAUGUAAAAUAUAAAUAUACAUAUAUAUUCUCAAAACUUCAUUUUUACUAUCUCAACAUUUUUCUUUAUCAAUCAUGCCAUGCCAUGCCAUGUCUAAUUCAACAAUUAAGUAUAGAUGCAUCAACAAUAAUCAUAUCAGGUGCAAGAAAGUAAUCAACCGGAGGCCCUCUCUAAUAGCCCUGCCCGGUUGAACCUAGAGCUCAAAAUCUAUCACUCUCACUCUACCGGAGUCACCUCUGUGACCUGUCCGGCCUUCUGCACACAAGUUACGCUCUAGUGCUUUCUCAUCAAUCAUCUGUGCACAUAAUCUAAGGUCACCCACCAGUCGAAAUCUCACUAACACUCUUCGACUGGCCCGUCGCACCCACUCCGCGUGGACUGUGCGACCAGUAUCUACUUGGAUCCAAGGCGAGCGUGCGAUGUGGUGAAUACUAUAAGCACUAAACCAUGGUGCAGGAUUUGAGCUCAAUUUAUAUCAACAUCAUCAUAACAGUAUUUAAAUACUCACCUGAUACUCACCUGUGCGUCCGCCGCACCAUUCAUUCAUAUGCAUCAUAUCUCAAUAUGCAUCAUAUCUCAAUUCAUACUUUUCAUAUAUCAUUUCAUGCAUGGCCAUUCGAUUCACAUUUCUAUAUAUAUUUCAUAUACUUCUAUGCAUGGCAUCUCAAUUCACAUUUUCAUAUAAUUCUAUAUACCUUUCGUUUAAAACAUAAUUUCAUUCUAAUUCAAUUUCUGGGAAAACGUCAAGUAUAUAGAUAUACGGAAAACAAAACUGCCCACUCACAGAAUACAUCGACGUGUCGAAGGUCCCUGAGCCUCCCUUAGUCAUGCCCAACGUUCGUACAAGCCUCGCCUAUACGAGAAAUAACCGAAUUAACGUUAUUUAACGCAUAACCUAAUUCUUAGCUAAUAACUCCUCAAAUAUUGCUCAAAUUGGGUAUAUGAAAUAUACCACCGUGACCUACACAACCUCAGGAUCAUCCCCAUAUUUUUAAAAUAAUUUUUGGAGUCCUCACGCGCCCCCACGCGCCUGACGUGGCACGGACCUACGCGCCCCCCACGCGCGGCCACGUGCCAAGCACACUGACGGUGUCAAUUGAUGCCGUCAGGAAUAUUCCGUUAAAACCCCGGAAUAUGCCGUUAACUUAACCUUUUUCCGUUACUGUCGUUAGGAAUAUCCCGUUAAAUAUAACGGAUUAUUCCUUCUUCUUCUCCGGUCGUCCCUCGCCGGACUCCGGUCACCGGAAACUGGGGAAUAUUUCAAAUCCACUAUUCUCCUUCGUUUUUCAUCCAAAUUUCUCGAAUUUUACACCAAUUUGAAGCCCUAAACAUCUACUUUCACGUUGGACUAGUUUUAGGGCCUAAAAACUACGAGAUCAAACUUUUCAAAAAUUCAAGAAAUCGGCCAAACUUACAACUCGUGAUCCCGACGUCCAAUCCAUGCCAACGAAGCACUCCGAGCUUCCUUGUGACUUCCUAAAGCUCACUGUGAGUUUGGUUUCACCUAAAACAAAGCCAAUUCGAAGUUCAUGAACAGUGCAAUAUCACGGGGUCCUUGAAAACUAGGGUUUUCCGAAGUAGAACUUACCUGAAAUGGAUACCAUCGUGCUCGUGAAGUCUUCAGGGUUCCAAUGGUGGUCUUAGAUUCGUCGUUGGUAUAGAUUUAGGGUGGUUUUGUGGUUGGUCUGUGAGUUCGAAGGAGAGGGAGAGAGAACUGAGAGUUUCGUGAGGGAGGAGAGAGAGACAGUAUGCAGAAAAUAGGGAGAGGAUUGAGGAAUGUGGGGAUCCCUCGUGGUCCUUUUCCAAUCCCCAACUCCAAACCACAAAAUUUUAACCUAAAAAUCUAAGUUCCAUCCUUAAUAAAUUCCAUUUUAUUUUCAAAACUUAGGAACCUAGAUAAUUAUCAACUUGAGCUUCACAUACUUAGUAUUUCUUAAGGGCAAUUUCGUCCAUUCACAGCCACGAAUGUAAUAUUUUGGAACGGGCUGUGACAAUCUCCCCUCCUUAUAGAAUUUCGUCCCCGAAAUUCCAGCCACCAAUCAACCCAUCAAUACUCAUACCAAACUCGGUAAGUCUCUUUCAUCCGAUUCUCUUUCUCCCGCGCAAUUUUCUUCCACUGAAUAAUUCCUUCACAAAACUUUUACCAUUUACUCUAUCUUAAUUCUCAGGACCUUCUUUUUCCAAUCCAAAGUCGUCCUUGGUUCCUUAUCAAGUCGAAUCCAAUUUAAUUCUCAAUAGUUGCACCAGAAUCUCAUGUGACGAAUCUGCCAUCUAGAGACAACGUAUCGAACCCAAAAUACAUUAUGUGCCUUAGCCAAUUCUGAAGACAUCACCACUUGUAUGCAACUUUAUUGAUUCCUUUAGUGAUCAAAACGGACUGAUGUGUUCAAGACUUAUCUUGUCUUCCUUUCUGAAUCUUACUAUUUCUGUUCAUGGUGAAAUUCCAAAAAUAUCAAACCAUUUACCUUACCUUACACACUCGAUUAGUGGCAUAUCCAUCUGUUAGUCUCUUUUGCCAUUCCUGGUUACUUCAGGUUAACUUAAUCACAUGAAUACUUUGAGGAGACUCAUCCAUAGUCUCAGGGUCUACUAACUCUUUCUUGAUCGAAUCUUUCUCUAUUCAGAAGCAUUUCAUUCACACGACACGCUUCAGGGACCCUAUGGCGUUACUUCGGAAACUGCACAACCAACAUACUUAAGAAACUCAGCAGUUCCGUAACCCAAUUCGUCUUUCCAUAAAACAAAUAAGUACCGUUGCUCUGUCUGGGAAAAAGUUAUUACUCAGCACUGGAGUAAUUGUACUAACUUGGUACAUUGGCCAACUAUCACUUCAACUUCGAUCAUAACUAUCCUAUGUACAAGGAAACUUGUACACAUAAUCCAAAGUAAUAUCUUUCCAUUUCCACUGCGAAACAGAAAAUAGUUAUCUCAAUCCAAAGGUUUAUCUCUUUCUGCCUCAAUCUGCUGACCAAUUAAAACUGUCGAAUGGUAUGAUAAAUCUUAUUACUUUUGGAAUAUUGCAGAAGUUAAACAAUGUACUUCGUCCAAAAUUGCUUACUUUAAAUCCUUAGCAUUAGGCACAUACUUUUUGUUUCCUUGUAUCCACAUACCAUUUGAUUCACGAAUCAUGUACUCAUUCUUUUUCCUUUCUUUCUCUGCCUUGGUUAAUUCUUAAAUUUCCUCGUCAAACAUUUAAGUUUCAAGUACGACCUUACCAAACAGGCCUAACUUGAAAAUUAACAAGUAUAACUUCUUCUCGAUCUUUCAUUCUUAACUUUUCUUCCGUUGGUUUUCAAUCCACAAGAUGAUACUCUUGGCAACGUGCCAGACAUUAAUCUUACUGCAAUCUUUUCACCAAGUGUAUCAGCUAGAACAAUUUUACGAUCACCCUGGUCGUACAAUCAUAUACAUUAAACAAUUCAAUUUACCUUCGCUACCUCAGAUCAAAAUCCUUCCGAGUAAUGGAUAUUGAAGACUUUUUGGAUUCGUAAAAAAAAAAAUCUUGCAUUCUCACUAAAAUAUAAUGUCUCCAUAACUUCACAGCAAAGAUGGUAAUCGUGACUUCCAAAUCACCAGUAGGGUAAUUCAUCUUAUGAGAUUCCAUUUAUCGUGAAACGUAUGCAAUCACCCUAACAUUUGCAUCAACAUGCCUCCAAUACCAUUCAAGAAACAUCACUAAAAAUUUAUGAUUACCACUAUUCUCUGGGAUUACUAAAUUAUGUGCAUGAGUGAGGAAAUACUUCAGUUGUUGAAUCCUUUGCUCACAAUUUCCUUCCCACUCAUACAUAACCUCUUUUCUCAACAGUCUCGUCAAUGACAAAACAAUGAUUGAAAAAUCUUUCACAACCAUCCAAGAUAGCCUGGUAAGCUAAGAAAUUCCGAAUCUCAAUUAUGGCUUGUGGUUGUUCCAAAUUUUUAAUUUCUGUUACCUUUUAAGGAUUCACUUGAAUACCUUAAGAAUAUAUAACAUAUCCCAGAAAUGCUGCUUGAUUCAUCCAACAUUAGCAUUUGCUAAACUUAGCAUACAAUCGACAUUCUUCCAAUCUUUGUUCCACCGACUUAAUACGUUUACAUGCUCUGCUCUGGCUCAGAAUAGGCCAGAAUAUCUUCAAGGAAAAUGAUAUCAAUUUAUCAAUGAUUAUUGGAAUACUUCAUCCAUCAACUCAUAAAACAGCAUGAGUAUCCAUAUAGCAUCACCAAACUUCAUAAGGACCAUAACAAGUCCAGAAAACCAUCUUAUGAUCAACGUCACUUAUAAUAUUCAAUUGGUAGUAACCAGAUCUCAAUUCAAUCUUUGAAUCUUCGCAAUUACUUCUGAGCUGGUUAAAUAAACAUCAGUACAUCACCAUGGAUAACGGUUCUCAAUCGUUACCCGACUCCAUUGUCUAUAAUCAAUGAACAGUCUCAAGAUCCAUUUUCUUCCUCACCAACAAACUGGGGCUCCUCAAAAGUGUUGUACUAGGUUGAAUAAAACUUUUAUCAACCAAUUCUUUCAACUGAAUUUCCAAUUCCCUUAACUCAUCAUGAACCAAUCUUUAACAUAAAUUUAUACCUGGCAACAAAUCAAUAAUGAACCUCAUAUCUCUGCCUGAAGACAAUCCAGAUAUACUUUCAGGGAAGACAUCAAGAAAAGUCUAACCCUUUCGACAUUAUUCACACUACUCCAAACAACAUCAUUUAGCACCACAUGAGCUAAGUAUUUUUGGCAGCCUUUUAAAACAAUCUCUUUGCUUUCACAGCAUAAAUAACGGCUGAACUCACUUCACUUUGCAUACUUACAAAAGUAAUCUCUGGUCAUCCAGAUCGAUGGAAAGUACUGGUUUCCCAUAACAUUCCGUCUUGUCACAAUUAUAACCAACCAUUCUAAUGGAACAGAAUUAACUGAUACAAUAUAUAUUCUAUUAUUAUUAAGCAUUCUGAAUAAGUACAAUACUAACAUAAAAUAAUCUACCGGUUUACUUACUUAACGAAUCCACGAAUAAGUUAUUAAUAUUACGGUCUGCAGCCCGCAAUACUGAUAAAUCAUCGUUGUCUCGAUAAGUAGGCAACCACUCUCAAAGAUAUAACAAUACUAUUUUGCCACUCAAUGCAAAAUACAUACACUCGUCUCAACCGCAUUUAUUUACUACUUUCUAGGCAAUAUCAAUCAUAAUAAAAUAUAUAUAUAUCAGCCGGAGUCAACUAGAAUGACUUGUACGGCUGAUUCAACAAUUAUCUCAAUAAUAUGUCGGCCGGAUCCACUCCGCGUGGUCGGUACGGCCGAGCCUAUAACUCACCAAUUUCUCAUGCGUCAGCCAGAUCCACCUCUCGUGGCCUGUACGGCUGAACAUAUAACUCAUCAAAUCUCUCUGUACCCACGGUCAAUCCGACCAAACUACUAAGUUCAUAAACUCUGCUGAAUCGAUACUACGAUGUCAUAGAAAACUGUUGGGUACAACUGAUUCUAGGGACAAUUCACAAUUAUGUGUCCCCUCUGUUCACAUAAACACAUUCAUUAAUUUCACACUUCCCAAAGUGUUAAUUUUGUACCUGCUGCACAAAGUACAUUUCCUUUACUCGAGACACCUUGUCUCAAAUAUCUGGGAUUACCAGUAUAUCCAUCACUUUUAUUCUGACCAGCGACAUUAAAACCUCAGCUGGAAGAAUUAACUCUAGCUUCACUUCUUUCGAAGCUCUGAAUCCUUCGAUAUUUUUGAUAUGACGAAUCAUUAACUUUAUCGUCUUCUUUUAAUUCCCAUUCUUUUCUUAUUCCUCUUCACUCUAGCUGAUCAUAUUCUCAGAGUCCUCAAGGCUCAACAACAUCUUGUAUACUCUUGGUAAGAAUUACAAUGGAUAGUGGUCACCCAAAAUACCACUUCCCUUUUUUUUUUUUUUUUUUUUUGCCACCCAGCUUAAAACAACAUAACACCUCCACUAAAUUAACAACAAUAUCUGGAUGGAACGAGGCUAGUCUGAAAACUUUCUAUAAUAUCCCUCGAUCAUCACCUUCCUUGUCUCAUAUUUGUAAACUCUUGUUUACUACCAUCGAUAAAUGCCGGAGGGAUAAACUUUUCCUUAAACAAAUCCUUAAACAAUUUUAAACCGGCUGAUUCCUCUGGUGACAACAAAUAACAAUCCUGUUUCCACCAGGAUACAAAUUCGUACCCAAAACCAGGUAGUCGUCUCGACCCCCUGUCAGAAGGAAGAUUCCUUUGACUUGCAUAAUCCGAAACUUCUUUUCCAAAUGGUUAAACCGUUACUUCGUUCCCUCAGGUUCAUCAUUUCAUAAGGUGAUUCAAAUUCGACUCAUAACCCAUCUUAAAAUGUCCAUUUUUAUAAUAAACUGAAUCACCAUAAUAAUAGUUUCCCCUAAACCGCUAUAUUAGGGAGACUAAAUUCCUCUAACUAAGUGGCUUGCUACGAGGCGGUGUAGUUCUGACAGAAUUCACUAGAACUUCUCAAGAUGUCCAAGAUUGCAACCAUGCUCUGAUACCAACUGACACACCCUGUCCCGAAGGAGGGCAUGCUGGCCGUCACGUGAGAGUGACGUAACCAUUUGCACAGUACGGAAGCUUUAAGAUACAAUUUAUAAGUUGAUACACCCGAAGGUGAGUCCUAAUUUUGUCCAAUCUGUCAGAACACCGUCGAAUUCCUCGUAGUCACCACUUCUUUGUGAAACCUGAACCUGGAGGGGCGCAAAACCAAAAUUGAGUGGGUCAGUAAAACAAUUCUUUUCCAAAUCCAAACAUUUCUCAAAACGUUGUAACCCCUCUCCGUAAAAACCUGUAUACUUUCCCAGAAAUGUAAAAUAUAAAUAUACAUAUAUAUUCUCAAAACUUCAUUUUUACUAUCUCAACAUUUUUCUUUAUCAAUCAUGCCAUGCCAUGCCAUGUCUAAUUCAACA
rnacentral:lncRNA from 1 species